UUCCCCUCUAUGCCUCUGUUCAGCCCGCUAACACCCGCAACCAGGAAGAGCUUCUACCCUCCACUGUUCAAAAGCCACUCCCCCAGUGUGAGGAGGGUGUUCAGUACGCCAGCAUCCAGAUCCGCCCCUCCAGUGCUGCCCCCAGGUCACCAGCCCCAUCCGUAAAGGAAGACUGUGUUCUCUACAGCACACUUCGAAAACUGGACAAGUGAAAAUAAACCAGGAAGAUAUCUUGCUUCAUAAA